UACGUAGGGUGCGAGCGUUGCUCGGAAUCACUGGGCGUAAAGGGUGCGUAGGCGGGUCUUUAAGUCAGGGGUGAAAUCCUGGAGCUCAACUCCAGAACUGCCUUUGAUACUGAGGAUCUUGAGUUCGGGAGAGGUGAGUGGAACUGCGAGUGUAGAGGUGAAAUUCGUAGAUAUUCGCAAGAACACCAGUGGCGAAGGCGGCUCACUGGCCCGAGUACUGACGCUGAGGCACGAAAGCGUGGGGAGCAAACAGG
rnacentral:rRNA from 1 species